rnacentral:SRP_RNA from 1 species
CGCACUAGUCGGGGAGUUAGCGGUGCCCUGUACCUGCAAUCCGCUCCAGCAGGGAUGAAUUCCUAUACCCGGGUGCGUUUUACGCUUUCACUGCCCGAAACGCGGUGUUGACAGAGCGGUCUUGCGCAACGAGACCCCGUGAACCAUGUCAGGUGGGGAACCAAGCAGCAUUAAGCGGAAUGUUUCGUGUGCCGCGAGGUUGCCGUUCUUGAGCCGGCUGUCUGGCUG